rnacentral:rRNA from 1 species
GAUGAACGCUGGCGGCGUGCCUAAUACAUGCAAGUCGAGCGAACAGACGAGGAGCUUGCUCCUCUGACGUUAGCGGCGGACGGGUGAGUAACACGUGGAUAACCUACCUAUAAGACUGGGAUAACUUCGGGAAACCGGAGCUAAUACCGGAUAAUAUAUUGAACCGCAUGGUUCAAUAGUGAAAGACGGUUUUGCUGUCACUUAUAGAUGGAUCCGCGCCGCAUUAGCUAGUUGGUAAGGUAACGGCUUACCAAGGCGACGAUGCGUAGCCGACCUGAGAGGGUGAUCGGCCACACUGGAACUGAGACACGGUCCAGACUCCUACGGGAGGCAGCAGUAGGGAAUCUUCCGCAAUGGGCGAAAGCCUGACGGAGCUACGCCGCGUGAGUGAUGAAGGUCUUCGGAUCGUAAAACUCUGUUAUUAGGGAAGAACAAAUGUGUAAGUAACUAUGCACGUCUUGAUGGUACCUAAUCAGAAAGCCACGGCUAACUACGUG